GUUCCCCAGGGGAUGCCGAUGCAAGCUCAAAUCUGAGUCUUACAGACUGCAAUGGGCAGGUGGCAGGUGGUCUAAGGCACUGAUGCAGGGGUACAUGGAGGGGGUGCUGGGGCUCAUGCUGGGGAAGGGGGAGUGCCGAGGAAGGCUUGGAUUAUGAAUGACUUAUUUCGAGGUAGACAAAGAAAUCUGUGUUUGACUUGGUGGAGGGGAGUGGAUUCCUGGCAGAGGGAUCAGCACAUGCAAAGUCCCUGGGGCAUGCUAGAGCAGAAGCAUUCAGGACCUACAAGUGGUCAUGCUGGGCUAGAGGGGAGGAGGGGUGGGGGAGGGGAGGGCUAGUCAAUGGGCUUCUUGUGCUCUGAGCUGGGUUUUCUCAACAGAGCCAGGAAAGGGUUUAUGCAUGGGGGCGGGAAGAUCUGCAUCCUGGGAAGAUGGGUGGUUGAGAUCAAGGAUUUCUGAACCACAACAGGUGUUGGGCUAUCUUCUGGAAGGCAGGGCUGAGCCUGUGGUGGAUGGGGAGCCAGGGGCAGGAUGGGGCUGGGAUAUCCUGGGUCUGCCCUGUUGCCAGAACAUUCCCAGCAGGGAGCCACACCUACUGAGUGUUGAAACCCAGGUGGCCCUCUUCUGUCCAGCUCUUGGUCUCUCCAGAACACUCUGUAACUGUCUGGCACUAUAAUUAGUCUGGGCGUUCAUACCUUCCAUCCCCAGAGGGAGAGGAGACUACAACUAGGUCUGCACGUCAAGGUUCCAGAGCUGGAGGGGCGGCACUAAGAAAUGCAAGAUGCAGCCCAGACCCCCUCUAAGGGUGGAGCUGGAUGGAGGCUGGGAGCUGCGGAGAGGGGCCCAGGUGGAUGGUGGACUGGCUCAGGAGGUCCCUGGCCUCCACCUUGCAGUGCUGGCCUGCCGGCCCCAUGGAAGCCCCCAGCCCCACCUCCUCCUCAGAAGCCCAGGCUCCUCCAGAGGGCCCAGCCUCCCUUCUGGCCUUCCCAGCGCCAGAAAGACACAUGAAAGAGAACCGGGGCCUCUCCCAGGCCUGGAGCUCUUGUUUGGGAAGGGGCCUCUGAAGAGUUCAUCCAGUGGACAAGCUGGGCCAAUAAAAGAACACACAAGAGCCCCUCUGACCGGGAGAUUCUGUCCUGCUGACGCCCAAAGCGCUGCCCAGGUAAGAAGACAGCCCUGGCGCCCCGCUCUCCCUGUGUACCGCUGCCCUGUCCCCUGACAAUGCCCUGCCUCGUCCUCAGCUCUUUCUCAGUCUGUCUUGGCCCACGUCACCGCCUGCCGUCUGCCUUUCUCUGUCUCUCCCUCUCUUUCUGACCGCUCUUUGUUUCUCUGAUUUGCAAGAUCUGCG
rnacentral:lncRNA from 1 species